GGGACACGUGGUAUCCUGUCUGAAUAUGGGGGGACCAUCCUCCAAGGCUAAAUACUCCUGACUGACCGAUAGUGAACCAGUACCGUGAGGGAAAGGCGAAAAGAACCCCGGCGAGGGGAGUGAAAAAGAACCUGAAACCGUGUACGUACAAGCAGUGGGAGCACGCUUAGGCGUGUGACUGCGUACCUUUUGUAUAAUGGGUCAGCGACUUAUAUUCUGUAGCAAGGUUAACCGAAUAGGGGAGCCGAAGGGAAACCGAGUCUUAACUGGGCGUUAAGUUGCAGGGUAUAGACCCGAAACCCGGUGAUCUAGCCAUGGGCAGGUUGAAGGUUGGGUAACACUAACUGGAGGACCGAACCGACUAAUGUUGAAAAAUUAGCGGAUGACUUGUGGCUGGGGGUGAAAGGCCAAUCAAACCGGGAGAUAGCUGGUUCUCCCCGAAAGCUAUUUAGGUAGCGCCUCGUGAAUUCAUCUCCGGGGGUAGAGCACUGUU
rnacentral:rRNA from 1 species